rnacentral:rRNA from 1 species
UACAGAGGGGGCGAGCGUUUGUUCGGAAUUACUGGGCGUAAAGGGCGCGUAGGCGGCCAACUAAGUCAGACGUGAAAUCCCGUCGGCUCAACCGGGGAACUGCGUCUGAUACUGGGAUGGCUUGAAUUCGGGAGAUGGGAUGCGGAAGUUCCAAGGUGUAGUGGUGAAAUGCGUAGAGAGUCCGGAGGAACACCAGGUGGCGAAGGCAGCUCACUGGGACGGUAUUGACGCGUGAG